UAUAAUGACCUAUAAUCCCUGGAUAUUAGCUUGUACAUUUAAAUCAAGUUAAACUUUCUUAGCAUCUCGCCAAAACAAGUAGUGAACGAGAGCACAACUUUCUAGUCCUCUAGCUCUCAUGCUUCAAGUGGCUGAUAGUUGCAGGCACUAGAGCUUCACUCAGAUCUUCCGGAUGAUAUCAAAUCUGCCUUUUUGUCAAUGCUCCUAUGCUAUAUAGAGCAGCCUGUCAAGCCCAUUCUUUGUUCUCAAGUAUGCAAUGACAGUUUUUGAAUGUCGGGUAGAAGUGAUGAUGUUAUUGUUGGAGGAAAUACUGUGCUGAAAGACAAUCCACGAUUGACGGUUAGACAUGGAGGUGACCAUCCCGGCGUAUUGUAUUAUCUCAGACUCUUGAUUUUCCAGAAGAAGCACAUCUUUGGAAUGUUUCUGAGGUCCCCAUUAUAGUUGCUACACAAAGAGGUGCAAGGAGAAGUUUCCAGCGAUUGCUUGCAUCCAAAGGUGUGGAAUUUGAUAUUUUAGAUCCUAGAGAUGUUAUGUGGUACUUAUAUGAUCGUGGUUACCUCUCCGUUUUGUGGGAAAGUGGAGGGACACUGGCUGCAUCUGCUAUUUCUUCUGGGGUCAUACACAAGUUAGAUAUGUCAAACCUUACUUGCACGUACAUGCAUUUGUCGCUCCCAAAAUUAUAGGUGGGAAAAUGAAUCGUCUCCAGUUGAGGAACUUGGAAUGGUAGAAUGACCCAGGCUUUGGAACUAAUUGACGUUUGCUAUAAGCAGGAAAUGUUAAGGAAAAUGGCUUACGAUCACAGAUCGAAUGUAUUUGCUACCAAACAAAUCAAAGAUUUGAGUCUUGGGGAGGCUUUGAAGAGUAUCAACAUAAGCCUGGAUUUCAGCAGCUUCACGAGUAACAUC